rnacentral:rRNA from 1 species
UACGAAGGGGGCUAGCGUUGUUCGGAUUUACUGGGCGUAAAGCGCACGUAGGCGGUUUGUUAAGUGAGAGGUGAAAUCCCAGAGCUCAACUCUGGAACUGCCUUUCAUACUGGCAAGCUAGAGUCCGGAAGAGGUAAGUGGAACUCCCUAGUGUAGAGGUGGAAUUCGUAGAUAUUAGGAAGAACACCAGUGGCGAAGGCGGCUUACUGGUCCGGAACUGACGCUGAGGUGCGAAAGCGUGGGGAGCAAACAGG